CCAGACUCCUACGGGAGGCAGCAGUGGGGAAUAUUGGGCAAUGGGCGCAAGCCUGACCCAGCAACGCCGCGUGAAGGAAGAAGGCUUUCGGGUUGUAAACUUCUUUUGACAGGGAAGAGCAGAAGACGGUACCUGUCGAAUAAGCCACGGCUAACUACGUGCCAGCAGCCGCGGUAAUACGUAGGGGGCAAGCGUUAUCCGGAUUCACUGGGUGUAAAGGGAGCGUAGACGGCCAUGCAAGCCUGGAGUGAAAGCCCGGGGCCCAACCCCGGGACUGCUCUGGGAACUGUGCGGCUGGAGUGCGGGAGGGGCAGGCGGAAUUCCUGGUGUAGCGGUGAAAUGCGUAGAUAUACGGAGGAACACCAGUGGCGAAGGCGGAUUGCUGGACAGUAACUGACGCUGAGGCGCGAAAGCGUGGGGAGCAAACAGGAUUAGAUACCCCAGUAAU
rnacentral:rRNA from 1 species